AAAGAAAAAACGGAGAAGAACACAGGGAUUGCCCUAGUAACGGCGAGUGAAGCGGCAACAGCUCAAAUUUGAAAUCUGGCCCUAGUGGUCCGAGUUGUAAUUUGUAGAGGAUGCUUUAGGUGCGGUACCUUCUGAGUUCCCUGGAACGGGACGCCAGAGAGGGUGAGAGCCCCGUACGGUGGGAUACCAAGCCUAUGUAUAGCUCCUUCGACGAGUCGAGUAGUUUGGGAAUGCUGCUCUAAAUGGGAGGUAUAUUUCUUCUAAAGCUAAAUACCGGCCAGAGACCGAUAGCGCACAAGUAGAGUGAUCGAAAGAUGAAAAGCACUUUGAAAAGAGGGUUAAAUAGCACGUGAAAUUGUUGAAAGGGAAGCGUUUGCGACCAGACCUUUUCCGGGCGGAUCAUCCAGCGUUCUCGCUGGUGCACUUCGCCCGGUUUAGGCCAGCAUCGGUUUUCUUAGGGGGAUAAAGACCUGGGGAACGUAGCUCUUUCGGGAGUGUUAUAGCCCCUGGUGUAAUACCCUUCAGGGGACCGAGGACCGCGCUUCGGCUAGGAUGCUGGCGUAAUGGUCGUCAACGACCCGUCUUGAAACACGGACCAAGGAGUCGAACAUUGGUGCGAGUGUUUGGGUGUUAAACCCUCACGCGUAAUGAAAGUGAACGGAGGUGAGAGCCUGUACGGGUGCAUCAUCGACCGAUCCUGAUGUCUUCGGAUGGAUUUGAGUAAGAGCAUCACUGUUCGGACCCGAAAGAUGGUGAACUAUGCGUGGAUAGGGUGAAGCCAGAGGAAACUCUGGUGGAGGCUCGCAGCGGUUCUGACGUGCAAAUCGAUCGUCAAAUCUGCGCAUGGGGGGCGAAAGACUUAUCGAACCAUCUAGUAGCUGGUUACCGCCGAAGUUUCCCUCAGGAUAGC
rnacentral:rRNA from 1 species